GAUCAUGGCUCAGGACGAACGCUGGCGGCGUGCUUAACACAUGCAAGUCGAACGAGAGGAGAAGGAAGCUUGCUUCUUUCAAAUCUAGUGGCAAACGGGUGAGUAACACGUAAACAACCUGCCUUCAGGAUGGGGACAACAGACGGAAACGACUGCUAAUACCGAAUACGUUCCUUAGGUCGCAUGAUCUUGGGAAGAAAGGGUGGCCUCUACCUGUAAGCUAUCGCCUGAAGAGGGGUUUGCGU
rnacentral:rRNA from 1 species